AGCCAGUGAUGACAAACAACUUUUUCUGACACCUCGUAUGAGAGCCGCACCUCGGCUCCUGAUUCUAGCUCUGAUCUGAGGCUC
rnacentral:snoRNA from 1 species